rnacentral:rRNA from 1 species
AGUGAACGCUGGCGGUAGGCCUAGCACAUGCAAGUCGAACGGCAGCACAGUAAGAGCUUGCUCUUACGGGUGGCGAGUGGCGGACGGGUGAGGAAUACAUCGGAAUCUACUUUUUCGUGGGGGAUAACGUAGGGAAACUUACGCUAAUACCGCAUACGACCUACGGGUGAAAGCAGGGGAUCUUCGGACCUUGCGCGAUUGAAUGAGCCGAUGUCGGAUUAGCUAGUUGGCGGGGUAAAGGCCCACCAAGGCGACGAUCCGUAGCUGGUCUGAGAGGAUGAUCAGCCACACUGGAACUGAGACACGGUCCAGACUCCUACGGGAGGCAGCAGUGGGGAAUAUUGGACAAUGGGCGCAAGCCUGAUCCAGCCAUACCGCGUGGGUGAAGAAGGCCUUCGGGUUGUAAAGCCCUUUUGUUGGGAAAGAAAAGCAGCAGGCUAAUACCCCGCUGUUCUGACGGUACCCAAAGAAUAAGCACCGGCUAACUUCGUG